AUUGAACGCUGGCGGCAUGCUUUACACAUGCAAGUCGGACGGCAGCGGGGUAGUGCUUGCACUACUGCCGGCGAGUGGCGCACGGGUGAGUAAUAUAUUGGAACGUACCGAGUAAUGGGGGAUAACCAAUCGAAAGAUUGGCUAAUACCGCAUACGCUCUGAGGAGGAAAGCAGGGGACCUUCGGGCCUUGCGUUAUUCGAGCGGCCAAUAUCUGAUUAGCUAGUUGGUGGGGUAAGGGCCUACCAAGGCGACGAUCAGUAGCGGGUCUGAGAGGAUGAUCCGCCACACUGGAACUGAGACACGGCCCAGACUCCUACGGGAGGCAGCAGUGGGGAAUUUUGGACAAUGGGCGCAAGCCUGAUCCAGCCAUGCCGCGUGUCUGAAGAAGGCCUUCGGGUUGUAAAGGACUUUUGUUAGGGAAGAAAAAGGAGCGGUUAAUACCCGUUUCUGCUGACGGUACCUAAAGAAUAAGCACCGGCUAACUACGUG
rnacentral:rRNA from 1 species